AAUUGAACGCUGGCGGAAUGCUUUACACAUGCAAGUCGAACGGCAGCACGGAGAGCUUGCUCCGGUGGAUUAGUGGCGAACGGGUGAGUAACACGUGAGCAAUCUGCCCUUGACUCUGGGAUAACUGCGGGAAACUGUAGCUAAUACCGGAUACGACACCUUGGGGCAUCCCAGGGUGUGGAAAGAAUUUCGGUCAAGGAUGAGCUCGCGGCCUAUCAGCUAGUUGGUGAGGUAAUGGCUCACCAAGGCGACGACGGGUAGCCGGCCUGAGAGGGUGACCGGCCACACUGGAACUGAGACACGGUCCAGACUCCUACGGGAGGCAGCAGUGGGGAAUAUUGCACAAUGGGCGAAAGCCUGAUGCAGCAACGCCGCGUGAGGGAUGAAGGCCUUCGGGUUGUAAACCUCUUUUAGCAGGGAAGAAGCGAAAGUGACGGUACCUGCAGAAAAAGCACCGGCUAACUACGUG
rnacentral:rRNA from 1 species